CUGAUUUUAGUUUAUAUCUAGAAUGCUAGUUUUGGGGAUUGGAGGACCUUUAUUGGGAAGUCGGA
rnacentral:tRNA from 1 species